rnacentral:rRNA from 1 species
UACAUAGGUCCCAAGCGUUGUUCGGAUUCACUGGGCGUAAAGGGUGCGUAGGCGGUCGGGUAAGUCUGAUGUGAAAUCUCACAGCUUAACUGUGAAACUGCAUUGGAUACUAUCCGGCUCGAGGAAUGGAGGGGAGACUGGAAUACUUGGUGUAGCAGUGAAAUGCGUAGAUAUCAAGUGGAACACCAGUGGCGAAGGCGAGUCUCUGGACAUUUACUGACGCUGAGGCACGAAAGCCAGGGGAGCAAACGGG